rnacentral:rRNA from 1 species
GACGAACGCUGGCGGCGUGCUUAACACAUGCAAGUCGAACGCUGAAGCCCAGCUUUUGUUGGGUGGAUGAGUGGCGAACGGGUGAGUAACACGUGAGUAACCUGCCCCCUUCUUUGGGAUAACGCCCGGAAACGGGUGCUAAUACUGGAUAUUCACUGGUCUUCGCAUGGGGGUUGGUGGAAAGGGUUUUUCUGGUGGGGGAUGGGCUCGCGGCCUAUCAGCUUGUUGGUGGGGUGAUGGCCUACCAAGGCUUUGACGGGUAGCCGGCCUGGGAGGGUGACCGGUCACAGUGGGACUUAGGUACGGCCGAGACUGCGACGGGGGGCAGCAGUGGGGAAGAGUGAGCAAUGGGGGCAAGCGUGAUGCAGCGGCGCGGCGUGAGGGGUGGUGGCGUGCGGGUUGUGAACCUCUUAGGCUCAUGGUCAAGCCGCAACAAUGGUUGUGGUGAGGGUAGUGGGUAAAGAAGCGCCGGCUAACUACGUG